AUUUAUCCUUAACAUAUUUGGAAAGUUUGACGUGCUUCUCUCGCGUAAAGUGUUACCGAGAAGCUCAGAGUCAGAACCGCAUCAAAUCACCCUCCACUGCACUCUUCAAUCGAGAGCAAAAGGAAUCUGAGCCCUCUCCAUCGCCAAACUGAGCGACAUCUCUAGGGUCCAGGGCUUCGGAAAUCACCCUUUAUAGUUUUUACAUGAAUUGCUUGACUAUUUAAUGAGAUAUUGAGGACUAUCUUCGACAAUUUGGCUCGAGUAAAUGUAUGAUUUAUGGUUUUUAAAUUAAACAAUAUUGGAUCAUCCGGCACUCUUACGAAAAAUUAAUGAAUCUUAGAAAGAAAAUUUCAUCAAUUUAAGUAUGCUCAAUUCUUUCAAGUGUGGAAUGAUGUAAAUAAGAAUUGUUCAUUUGACCCAGGCAAUCCCCUUUUCAAGUGCUUUCUCUUAGCCCAACUUUUUAAUUGCUUUAGAGUGAUAUAAUAUUGAUUUGAGGCCCUCGGCAGUAGAUAAAAUCACACCUCCUUCUGUAGUGGGCCAUUUGAUGGUUGAUUGGGUCGCCUCUCUUUAAUCUCAAUCUCUCCAUCAUCUUCUUUCUCUUAGCUGCACUUUUCUUCAUCAAUUUACUAGCUAUUUGAUUCUUGGGCUGGGAAAAAAAGCACAAAGUGUGAUUUGAUUAUUUUAGGAAAUGAACUAAAUUGAAGAGAGGAAGAGAUUUUAUUUACGUUUGGGAUUAAUGAGAGACUAAUGUGGUGAUUAUAAAAUUGUUAUUUGAGCAUAUCCAAAUUACCA